UAUAUAUUAAUUUGACUUUGGUUUUUUUUCUAGUUAUUAUAAUUUUAUACAUGUUAGGUUUAAUUUAUAAUUAGAAUUAUAUAAACGUAGUUCUUAAGAGUUUAUAUUUUACUUUGUUUAUUUAAUAUAAAUAGUAAGGAAAAUAUAAAUAUUUGUUGUUAAAUUAUAUUGAUAAUGGUUGAAAUUAAGAUAUUCAGUAUAUUUAUUUGUACAAUGAAUGAGAGUUUUAUAUAGAAAUUAUGAGUGAGAAUUGGAUAAAUUUGUGCCAGCAUCUGCGGUUAUACAAAUAAUUUAAAUUAGAAAGUUGUUGGUUAAAAGUAAAGUAAUAUUGUUGUUUAUUAAUUGUAAAGGAAAAUUUUAUGAUUGGUUUUUAGGUAAAAUUUUAUGAUUAAUUUGUUAUUUAUUAAUUUUCUUUAUUGAUAAUGCUUUGAAAAGUUGAAGAUAAACUAGGAUUAGAUACCCUAUUAUUUCUUUUUGUAAAAGUUGAAUUUUUUUUUACCUAAGUAUUAUGAAUGUAAUUAAAAUAUAUAUAUAAUUUAUAUUUAAAAUUUAAAAGGUUUGGCGGUUUUACAUAUCCAGUUAGGGGAGUUUGUUAAUUUGUUUGAUAAUCCUCAUUUUAAACUUACUUUUUUUUGAAUAUAUAAUUAAUACAGUUUAUAUAUUGCUGUCGUCAGUUUAUCUUUUGAGAAUUAAAAGAACUAUAAAUUUUUAGAUUGUUAUGUCAAGUCAUAAUGUAGCUAAUAAAAAAGGUUUAAUGAACUACUAUAAAUAGAUAAUGUUUUUAGUAUUGAUCCAGAUAAUAAAAUUUAAAUUUUAUUAGAAAGGUGGACUUAAUAGUAAAAUUUUAAUUAGUAUGUAUAUUUGAAUAAGGUUUUGUAAAGUGUACAUGUCGCUAAAAUAUUUUAUUCAAAAAUAACAUCUCACUUAGUUCAGGUAAUAUAAAUUAUUUUUGAAUUAAUAUAUUUUAUU
rnacentral:rRNA from 1 species